UCCCGACCUCCCCCCCUCCCCCGCCGUCCCGAGCGCCCCGGCCUCCGUGCUGCUGCUUCCUGCUGGCUACCGCCACCGGGGUGCUGUCCGCCCCGGGCUGAGGUCUCUACACAGUCCCUGCCUCCGCUGCGCCCAGCCGCCCACAAAUCCGUGUCGCCAUCCUACUCCCCGGCCGUCGCGCUGCACUCGACCUUACUCUUCAGAAGAGAUGGGAGAUAGACAAAGGCGAAUGGUGUUUGUCACAGUAGGGACGACAUGUUUUGAUGCCCUUGUCAAAGUGGCAGAUUCUGAGGAAGUCAAACAAGCACUACUGCAGAAAGGUUACACAGACCUUCGGAUUCAAAUGGGCCGAGGAACAUACACGCCAUCCAAGGAUAAAGUUAAACAGGAUAGGUGGCAAAAAAAGGAACAUAUGCAGCGUCAGGGUAAAAAAGAGUGGUUGUCCACACUUCAGGCAAGUUCACACUGUUUUUCAUUUUUGUGUGCUAACUAUGAUAUUUGAAGUCUGGCGAACUGGUGCCUUCUGUAUAUUAUAUUAUAUUAUAUUAUAUGCCAAAAUCCAGAAUUUGGUUGCAGUUAGACUUUUACGCAUUAUAAGGUGGAAAUGAACCAGGACAAUGAAGGAUCUGAUGGCAAAAUGGGGAACUAACUCGCUUAUUUGUUAAUUGAUUUCUCAUGAUAUAAACUUCAUUUCCAUAUUGCACCACUUCGUUAUGUCCAAGAUAGAGCAUAUAAUUUGGUUUCUAAAUAAUAACUGCACCUUAUAUACUUAAAAUAACUAGUAGAAUGCUCGUGCGUUGCUACGGGCUAUAAUGCAUACAAAUAAAUAAUUAUGGCUGUCUUCAACAUCGAAGCUCAUUUCUCUUUCAUAUGUCCAGACAUGUUCGGAUAUCAAACGGGCGCAUAUUGGCCCCCAAAAUCUAACCGUCUGGACAGUCCAGGCUCCCCAAAAUUCAGCCCAGAUACGAGGAGAAAAUGUGGUUUUCCAGACUAUUCACCAUGUUAUCUCCAACAUACGGUCCAACAUAAAAACUCCACCCACGAUGCACCCUUCCAUUUUCCUAUUGGGCCCUCCCCUCCACUCGGUUUCCCACCAUAUUAGGACAUUUCUCGCUGGAACCCUCUCCUUUAAAACCGGAUGACGCUCAUCUCACCUUCGCCAUGGCGCCCUCUCUCCUUCACACCGUACUUCCCCACAGACCGCAAAGUAGGAGUCCCCACCAGCCGCCCCACUCUCUACCCUGACCCCCUCCCUCGUGUUCAUGUCGAUCUACCACUGCCAUCAAGGGGGAAGAGGAGUGCGCCGGACAUGACGCCGUUGAGCCAAGAAAGCAUAUCCGAUGUCUCCUGAGCCAUUGCAACGUUGUAACAUAGAUUUGAAUGUUGUGCAUCACCAUGAAACAAAAAUAUGAUACCCAUUGUUGCUAUUCUAAUAUCUGAGAAGUGCAAACUUUAAAUGUGACUUGACCAAAAAAGGGAAGUUCAAAAACCAGUUUAUCCUUGCAAUUGUAUGUCACUGUAAGGAUAGAUAACCAUUGAGACAUAAUGAUCAGGCACAAUUUACUAAGACUGUC